ensembl:snoRNA SNORA63 Small nucleolar RNA SNORA63
UAGCAGGACAACUACUGUACAGCUGCUGCAGUGCUGUAUUGUCGUUCCCCCUGCUAAAAAUAACUUGUCUCCAGCUAUCCCUGUCUGUCUACUACCCCGACAGCCAGGGACGCAAGGUCUCAGACAC